CGGUGGCGGUGAAGAUGAACU
rnacentral:misc_RNA from 1 species